rnacentral:lncRNA from 1 species
CUGAGUUGAGUAGAGCACAGAAGAGAAGAGAUCAGAGUGGUGCGAAGGGUAGGUGUAGAGUAGGCGGGGAGUAGAAAGUCCUGUUGCAUAGUGGCAAAGCGACUUUGGCCCACACAUCCUUCCCCAAUCCCGAAAAUAGAAACAAAUUGUACAGUCUUUAUUGCCUAUGAUUGGCAUUCAGGAUUCCUUUUUUUCCGCCGAUUCUGUUACUGUCUCUAUCUGGCGCAGGGAUGGGCGGAGGAAUGGGUUACAGGAUGGAUGGGUUCAUCCAUCCAACACGAAGUGUCGAACGGAAGUGCAGGCUGAGAGUCUGCAGUGAUUAUCCGCGUUACACAGUACGAGCAAGUACGACACCUGGAAAGAGAAGAGACCCGUCUGGCAGGGACUGGACACUGGACUCUGGACACUGGACUGUGGACUCUGCUGGCACGCUUCCGAAUGGGUAGCCAAUAAUCCUGCAACAGAUGCAGUAGUUGGCAUCCAAAAUCAUCCAAGAUGGUGAUGCAAAUUCGAUUGUGCAAGAGAUGAGAUUUGGCAAAGGAAAAACGAAGGAAAUUUGAGUAGGAGUAGGUCGUAAAAUUUAGAUACUAGCGGGCAGGUUGCUUUG